rnacentral:rRNA from 1 species
UACGUGGGGUGCAAGCGUUAUCCGGAUUCACUGGGUUUAAAGGGUGUGUAGGCGGGCUAUUAAGUCAGUGGUGAAAUCUCCGGGCUCAACCCGGAAACUGCCAUUGAUACUAUUAGUCUUGAAUUCUGUUGAGGUAGGCGGAAUAUAUCAUGUAGCGGUGAAAUGCAUAGAUAUGAUAUAGAACACCGAUUGCGAAGGCAGCUUACUAAGCAGAUAUUGACGCUGAGGCACGAAAGCGUGGGGAUCAAACAGG